rnacentral:piRNA from 1 species
UCAGUUCUGUAAUGGUGGGUUUAU